UACGGGGGGGGCAAGCGUUGUUCGGAAUUACUGGGCGUAAAGGGCGCGUAGGCGGUCCGCUAAGUUGAAUGUGAAAACUCUGGGCUUAACCCAGAGCCUGCAUUCAAUACUGGCGGGCUAGAGUUCUGGAGGGGAUAGCGGAAUUCCUGGUGUAGCGGUGAAAUGCGUAGAUAUUAGGAGGAACACCGGUGGCGAAGGCGGCUAUCUGGACAGAGUCUGACGCUGAGGCGCGACAGCUAGGGGAGCAAACAGG
rnacentral:rRNA from 1 species